rnacentral:rRNA from 1 species
GAUGAACGCUGGCGGCGUGCUUAACACAUGCCAGUCGAACGGGAAACCUUUUAUUGAAGCUUCGGCAGAUUUAGCUGGUUUCUAGUGGCGGACGGGUGAGUAACGCGUGGGUAACCUGCCCUAUACAGGGGGAUAACAACCAGAAAUGGUUGCUAAUACCGCAUAAGCGCACAGGGCCGCAUGGUCCGGUGUGAAAAACUCCGGUGGUAUAGGAUGGACCCGCGUUGGAUUAGCCAGUUGGCAGGGUAACGGCCUACCAAAGCGACGAUCCAUAGCCGGCCUGAGAGGGUGAACGGCCACAUUGGGACUGAGACACGGCCCAGACUCCUACGGGAGGCAGCAGUGGGGAAUAUUGCACAAUGGGGGAAACCCUGAUGCAGCGACGCCGCGUGAAGGAAGAAGUAUCUCGGUAUGUAAACUUCUAUCAGCAGGGAAGAUAGUGACGGUACCUGACUAAGAAGCCCCGGCUAACUACGUG